rnacentral:tRNA from 1 species
UCCCCGCUUGUGUAAUGGUAGCACAUCAGAUUCUGGUUCUGACUGUGGGGGUUCGAAUCCUCCGUGGGGAA